AGUUUUAGAUCUAAAAAGCACUUUAAAACACGAAGAAACUCCUAAUCAGGAAACCCAUUUCCCAAUUUAGAAGAUUAGAUAAGAACAUUAGAAUUUAGAUCUGAAAUCUUACUUGUUGCAAACCCAUGCAUAUCAAUCUUCAAAGAUUCAAAUCAUCAAGCAAACCCAGUUCAUGAUAAGCCCAAGAAAAUCAAAACUCAAGAGAACCAGAAUCUCUCAGAACUCCCUACAAUCAAUAAAACAGACUUCAUUAACCGCGAAAUCAAAUAUAAAUACACAAGAUACAUAAUGUGGAUAUAUACAUACACCAACUUAUCUGAAAAAAACUAAGAAACGAACAAAUCAACUUAUAUGGAAGGAAAGAUUUGAAAAAAUAAAAAUCUUUUAAGACUUGUGGGGAUCAAGGAAGUACCCAAAUUUUACCAUUUUAGAUUGAUUUGAGAUAUACCCUCAAAAGAGUAAAGAUUUGAUUGAAAAUGAAAAGGGCUUUUACCUUUUGGGGAAAAGGGUUUACAGAGAGCAUCAAAGCUGUUUCUACUGAGUUCAUACCACACUCCUCAACUUUCUCUGCUCUCACUAGAAACUCUAUAUUUAUGUCUGAGAAAAUGGGAAUUUGGGCUGACAAGGAGGAAAAAAC
rnacentral:lncRNA from 1 species